AGGAUUGCUAAUACCGCAUGUGGCCAACGAGAGGCAUCUCUUGUUGUCCUAAAACCUUUCGGGGUGCUUUAGGAUGGGCUUGCGGCCUAUCAGCUUGUUGGUGGGGUAACGGCCUACCAAGGCGACGACGGGUAGCUGGUCUGAGAGGAUGGUCAGCCGGAUUGGGACUGAGAUACGGCCCAGACUCCUACGGGGGGCAGCAAUUAGGAAUCUUGCACAAUGGGCGAAAGCCUGAUGCAGCGACGCCGCGUAAGGGAUGACGGCCUUCGGGUUGUAAACCUCUUUUAUCGGGGAAGAAGAAUGUGACGGUACCCGAGGAAUAAGCCCCGGCUAACUACGUGCCAGCAGCCGCGGUAAUACGUAGGGGGCGAGCGUUGUCCGAAGUUACUGGGCGUAAAGCGCGCGUAGGCGGCUUUUUAAGUCUGGUGUGAAAGGUUCAGGGCUCAACCCGAACAGUGCACUGGAUACUGGAG
rnacentral:rRNA from 1 species